rnacentral:rRNA from 1 species
UACGUAGGGUGCAAGCGUUAAUCGGAAUUACUGGGCGUAAAGCGUGCGCAGGCGGUUAGCCGUGUCCGAUGUGAAAGCCCCGGGCUCAACCUGGGAAUGGCAUUGGAAACUGGCUGGCUGGAGUGUGGCAGAGGGGGGUGGAAUUCCACGUGUAGCAGUGAAAUGCGUAGAGAUGAUGGAGGAACACCGAUGGCGAAGGCAGCCCCCCUGGGCCAACACUGACGCUCAGGCACGAAAGCGUGGGGAGCAAACAGG